UGGGCUGCGUCCACAGGCACAGCCGAUUUGAGCAUUUUCAUUGAAUUGCCAAACCAGUCGUGCCUGUGGGCACAACCUU
rnacentral:miRNA from 1 species